rnacentral:tRNA from 1 species
UUAAUUGAAACCAAAAAGAGGUUUAUCACUGUUAAUGAUACUACUGGAUAAAAUCCCAAUUAAA